GGGUCAGUAGGUUGGUCGUGCCACCGGUACGUACUGGUCCCACUGAUUCCUCCUUCCUGAAGGACCGUAAUGCCAUUAAUUUGGUGUUGCGGGGAAACAGGACUGCUACUUUGAAAAAAUUAGAGUGUUUAAAGCAAGCUAACGCUUGAAUACAUUAGCAUGGAAUAAUGAAAUAGGACGAUCGAUCCUAUUUUGUUGGUUUCUAGGAUUGACGUA
rnacentral:rRNA from 1 species